rnacentral:rRNA from 1 species
AUCUAUGGCCAUACAACUCUGAAGGUGCUAGAUCUUGUUGGAUCUUGGAAUCUUAAGCACAGUCGGGCCUGGUUAGUACUAGGAUUGGAGAGCUGGCUGGCUGCAACAGCUG